CAUAUGCUUAAUAGGUCACCGUUUCUUUUCUUUUUUCUUUUCUUUUCCCGAUUAACACCUCUAAAUCCCUUCUCCAGUCCAACACCCACCGACCACCACCGUCAUAGUUAACAGCUCCCGUCACCACCGGUCCACCACACACCCACCGAUCCAUCAUCGUUCACCAAUCACCAUUGUUGCUUCUUGACUGACAACCCGAAGUCACUACAAGUGCAAAUUUUAGUGUGCCGCCAACGUGGGGUGCUCUAAGAAGAACAAGUCGAGGGGAUACAAUGGGUUAACCGGUUGACUAAGGGUGGGUUUGGAUGGACGGUGAGUUUACUUGCGAUUAGUGUAAAAACAGCGAUAGUGGUGAGAUUAGAUACUGUAGUGAUACUGUAACGUGAGACAAAAAGUAAGUUAAACGCACUGCACCGCACCCAAUCGCCCAUCCAAACUCACCUAAGUUUUGGUUGUGUAAUUGAUCAAGAUUGGCAGACCCUUAAGGAGAGACGAAUAGGAAAUGACAUCUCCGGAAUAGAUGGGAAAGCUUCUCCUCUCAACUGCCAACUCAACCUUAGUGUACUGCAUAGUACGCCAAUUACAACUACUGAAGGAAGGUAUGCCCUUGUUUGAAAAUUACACAGAAUCUAGAAAGUUUACAAUAGGCAGUGCGUAUGAGUUUUGGAUUAUAACAACGUUGGACGAGUGCAGAACCAGGAAUGGUAUUAUCAUGUAUGGCUUGACAAUAACCUCAACGACAAGAACUGGUACCCAAAACCCACAAUACCCUGCCAUCUCAUCUUUGCCAAAACUUUUGACAGUCCUUGUAGGCUAGACAAAUUUCUUGAACGUGCAACUACUGAGUAGCCUAUCCUGUUAAGUUCUUGAGAUGGAGGAAACCCAACCUUGGUGUAAAAUAAAUUCGGCAACGAGGAAUCCUGGCAGGGGAGGAGCUGAAGUUAUUAGGGAUCACAAUGGAAAUUGGGUAAAAGGAUCAUAUCGACACAUACCACAGGCAACAAGCGUGGAAGCAAAACUCUGGACUUGGUAUUAUUAAUAUAUAUACAAGUAGAAGUAGAUGCAACUGCUGUAAUAAGUCACAUUUCAAACGCCAUUACUUCAAUGUGCAAGAAUGAGGUGAUGUAAUUAUUGUUUGUAGUGAAGCACCCUUACAACUAGCUUCCUUCUUGACAAAUACCCGCAAUCUGUAGCUCAAAUAGAACAAAUAGUUUUGAUUUGAAAAUUUUCGUGUGAGUAGUAAUCAAAAUAAACAAAAAAAAUCAGCUCAUGGAAGAGAAUGAAUCAAAA